rnacentral:rRNA from 1 species
CCUACGGGGGGCAGCAGUGGGGAAUAUUGCACAAUGGGGGAAACCCUGAUGCAGCGACGCCGCGUGAGUGAAGAAGUAUUUCGGUACGUAAAGCUCUAUCAGCAGGGAAGAAAAUGACGGUACCUGACUAAGAAGCCCCGGCUAACUACGUGCCAGCAGCCGCGGUAAUACGUAGGGGGCAAGCGUUAUCCGGAUUUACUGGGUGUAAAGGGAGCGUAGACGGCAGCGCAAGUCUGGAGUGAAAUCCCAUGGCUUAACCAUGGAACUGCUUUGGAAACUGUGCAGCUAGAGUGCAGGAGAGGUAAGCGGAAUUCCUAGUGUAGCGGUGAAAUGCGUAGAUAUUAGGAGGAACACCAGUGGCGAAGGCGGCUUACUGGACUGUAACUGACGUUGAGGCUCGAAAGCGUGGGGAGCAAACAGGAUUUGAUACCCGAGUAGUC